ACAUCGUGGACGAACAUCCCGCAAUAAUCUGUGGAGAUUUUAAUGAGGAUCACCUCUGCGCUGGGAAUAAAACUGUUCUGGAACUGUUUCAGUCCAAAGGAUACACACAACUGAUCACCACAGCAACAACCAAAAAGAACACUCUAUUGGAUCACAUUUACGUCUCUCAUCCGGAUUUGUGCCUUCAGUCAGGUGUCUUGCAUACCUAUCAUAGCUAUCACAAUCCCGUGUACUGUGUUUUGCGUAAAUGAGUUUUUUUUUAGUGGACAGAUAUUGUUGUGUUUGGUGCUAGGUUAGUAUGCCAUACGGAACCGUUUGCCACUGAAACUGCUUAACGCACCAGUGGGGCUUCGACAGCCUUAUAAAACGAACGGUUGGGCGCGUAUGGUCGGGUUGUCGGGUAGUAUGCCAUACGGAACCGUUGCCAAUGGACCUGGAUACAUCACAUCAGCGGGGCUUUGAAAGCCUUCAUCAAACGGGUUGGCGCGUAUGGUCGUGUUGUGGUUAGAUUGUGGUGUUAGAGAUUGUGAUUAGGAGAUUGCGGUUAGGUCAUGCCAAGGGUUUAUACCACUGAGCUACGAAGAAGGAGCACCCUCAGCAGCAGCAGGAAGGACGGAGGAGGAGUGUGACAGCUCCAGGGAGGACAUAGACAGUCAGAGCGACAGUGGCAUUGCAGGAAGAAUUGGGAGACCAUAGCAGUCGUGUCUGGAUAUGAGUGUGCAAUAUACCUUCUAAAGCUAAGUGUUAAAAGAUUUUAUUUCAGUCUGUGUACCACUGCUUUUCAUAACUGCGUUUGAAUGGAAAUGUUAUAUUUGAACCUCUAAUUUUGAUUUUUAUGUUUUUUAGGAACCAGCCAAAUGAAGUGAGAUUGUCUGAGAAGAUCACGUGUGCUACAUCAAUGACGAUGACGAGCUGGAUACCAGAUUAUGUGCCAAUUUCUUUCCAGAAGAGGUCCAAAUAUCUACGGCAUUGAAGACAACUCCGAAGAAUGAAGAAGCAGAGGAAGAAGCACACUGAGGUCAAUACUACUGAUAAGGAUAUCCAGGGAGACAGAUGCGUGCCAUUCAGCAUAGAAACAUCAGAGACACAGUUCACCUGAGCGCAGAGGGAAACCAGCUUCUCCUGAGCAAACCUGACAAAUGUUCUGCGGGUGGAACUCCAAAGUUGAAACCAAAUGCCUUUUUAAAGGCAACAACGGCUCUUCUCAGAGCUACCCACUCAUUCAAAAACAAGAGCAUUUUUACAAGUUUAUCGAUCUUUCUGAUAAGGUCUAGUGUUCAGUGCAUCUUAUCAUACAAUGGUUUGUUUAAAAGCUUAGAUUGUUUAAAAGUGUAUGAUCUCAGAGGUGAGAGUUCAAAAAUUGUCUCUUGCGAGAUACAAACUUUACGCUCCAUACGUCUUGGAGAAUCAGAAAAUUCACUAUUAUUAUAAUAUUUGUUUUACCUCCUCUACCUCAGGAUAUCCAGCCUGUUUGCAGGGCCAGUUCCAGUGGCUAGAUGGCGGGAGAUGCUCCAUUACACCAUAUUGCAUAUCAACAUUGGAUGCACAAUUAAUUCAUUUUAAUAUAUUCAUUAAUGAUUUUACUAUCAUAUUAAAUAAUUGCUUACACACUCUAUAUAUAUAUAUAUAUAUAUAUAUAUAU